rnacentral:misc_RNA from 1 species
UCCGAGUUGACCCCGGCAGUCUCCCAUGAGUCCCCGCCAUUACGCGCUGGCAACAUGCAACGGGGGUUGCGCUCGUUGCGGGACUUAACCCAACAUCUCACGACACGAGCUGACGACAGCCAUGCACCACCUGUGACAGUGCCCAUAAGGGAGGAUGUGUUUCCACACCUGUCACUGACAUGUCAAGCCCAGGUAAGGUUCUUCGCGUUGCGUCGAAUUAAACCACAUGCUCCACCGCUUGUGCGGGCCCCCGUCAAUUCCUUUGAGUUUCAGCCUUGCGGCCGUACUCCCCAGGCGGGGCACUUCAUGCGUUAGCGCCGGUACUCCAAGGGUCGCUCCCCGGAGCACCUAGUGCCCAUCGUUUACGGCGUGGACUAC